CGGGGGGGCAAGCGUUGUUCGGAAUUACUGGGCGUAAAGGGCUCGUAGGUGGCCGACUAAGUCAGACGUGAAAUCCCCAGGCUCAACUUGGGAACUGCGUCUGAUACUGGAUGGCUUGAAUUCGGGAGAGGGAUGCAGAAUUCCAGGUGUAGCGGUGAAAUGCGUAGAUAUCUGGAGGAAUACCGGUGGCGAAGGCGGCAUCCUGGACCGAUAUUGACACUGAUGAGCGAAAGCCAGGGGAGCAAACGGGAUUAGAUACCCCGGUAGUCCUGGCCCUAAACGAUGAAUGCUUGGCGUGACGGGUAUCGAUCCCUGUCGUGCCGAAGCUAACGCAUUAAGCAUUCCGCCUGGGGAGUACGGUCGCAAGGCUG
rnacentral:rRNA from 1 species